GCUAUUUUGGCAGAAAAAUGUAAUGAUUUUAGAAUUCAUUAAUAUAUAAUUUAUUAUAUAUAUAGUA
rnacentral:tRNA from 1 species